rnacentral:rRNA from 1 species
GGGUGGUAAUGCCGGAUGCUCCAUCACACCGCAUGGUGUGUUGGGAAAGCCUUUGCGGCAUGGGAUGGGGUCGCGUCCUAUCAGCUUGAUGGCGGGGUAACGGCCCACCAUGGCUUCGACGGGUAGCCGGCCUGAGAGGGCGACCGGCCACAUUGGGACUGAGAUACGGCCCAGACUCCUACGGGAGGCAGCAGUGGGGAAUAUUGCACAAUGGGCGCAAGCCUGAUGCAGCGACGCCGCGUGAGGGAUGGAGGCCUUCGGGUUGUAAACCUCUUUUGUUAGGGAGCAAGGCACUUUGUGUUGAGUGUACCUUUCGAAUAAGCACCGGCUAACUACGUGCCAGCAGCCGCGGUAAUACGUAGGGUGCAAGCGUUAUCCGGAAUUAUUGGGCGUAAAGGGCUCGUAGGCGGUUCGUCGCGUCCGGUGUGAAAGUCCAUCGCUUAACGGUGGAUCCGCGCCGGGUACGGGCGGGCUUGAGUGCGGUAGGGGAGACUGGAAUUCCCGGUGUAACGGUGGAAUGUGUAGAUAUCGGAAAAGAACACCA